rnacentral:rRNA from 1 species
CCUACGGGGUGCUGCAGUGGGGAAUAUUGGACAAUGGGCGAAAGCCUGAUCCAGCCAUGCCGCGUGUGUGAAGAAGGCCUUCGGGUUGUAAAGCACUUUCAGUGGGGAAGAAAGCCUUGGGGCUAAUACCCUCGAGGAAGGACAUCACCCACAGAAGAAGCACCGGCUAACUCCGUGCCAGCAGCCGCGGUAAUACGGAGGGGUGCGAGCGUUAAUCGGAAUUACUGGGCGUAAAGCGCGCGUAGGCGGUCUGAUAAGCCGGUUGUGAAAGCCCCGGGCUCAACCUGGGAACGGCAUCCGGAACUGUCAGGCUAGAGUGCAGGAGAGGAAGGUAGAAUUCCCGGUGUAGCGGUGAAAUGCGUAGAGAUCGGGAGGAAUACCAGUGGCGAAGGCGGCCUUCUGGACUGACACUGACGCUGAGGUGCGAAAGCGUGGGUAGCAAACAGGAUUAGAUACCCCAGUAGUC